rnacentral:misc_RNA from 1 species
AGUUUGUAAAUGAGGUAACAGGGUAGAGCUGGGCUCCCCUGAUUUUAGUUUCUGAAAAUUUCUGGGCUAAGUUGGCCCAAAAUGAAAUUAUAACAGUUUGAUUUAAAUUAUUUUAUAUGCAUAUUGGGCCUAAAUUGUGGGCCUGGUUAUGGAUUUGAGGAAUAGUUAGGCUUACUACGGGUCUCGGGGGCUUUAGGCUGGCCCAG